GUGGAUUGAGCGAAAGAAUCGUUGGAUUUGGCUGAAAAACGAGAGAGAAAAGAGAUGGGAGUGUUUUCAUAGGAUUUUCGGGUUUGUGUGAAUGUCGACUUAUGUGUCGACUUAAUAUGAGCCCGCGUCAGUUCAUUUAAUGUCAAUCGAUGACGAGAGGUCUUCGUCAAUCGACAGACGUUAAGUUUUCAGAAGGUUUUUUUUUUUUUUUGAAAUUUAAACUAAAUCCUAAAUAUCUAAAAAAAAA
rnacentral:lncRNA from 1 species